ensembl:lncRNA
GUGUCGAAGAGGAGUCGCGCUUCUUCCCGGAAGCAGAACAUCGUGGGGGACAGUCCUCACUCCGAUAAAAGCUGUCAUUAUCAUCUCUCCAGCUCCAGACUUUCCUUUUUCUUUCCUGUCAUCUGUGAAUAAUUCUCUCCAUCAAAGAAAGAGGGACGCGGAGACGCGGCUUGUGCUCAAGUGCUCGUGCUGUUUCGCUCCUGCUAAUGAAUCCCGUCCUGCGCAGAACAAACAGUAUCCACCACGAGCUACGCGACAAACACACGGUGCGGCAGGACUGAUCCGCAACUGUAAAUUUGGGAUCCAGGCAAGGCGGCCGACACACACACACACACACACACACACACACACAGCAGUUUACAGUAUGUGCGUAGUUGAUGUGUGCUUCAGGUUAGCGUAGUGUUUCAUCUAGGAGGCACGUGAUCUGACGAAAAAAAAAGAAAAAAGAAAGCCAUCCCAGAAUGGCCAUUCCAACCCGGACCAAAGGUUCAUGCCUGUGUACAGACUAUAAAAGAAGAAAAUCACUAUGUCGAUAUUUUUCUUUGCAACGUUGGUGUCCAGCAUCGGCCGCACUGUGUGGGAACACGUCUCACGCGGUUCCUAGCGGGACAAGGACAUUUUUGGACGCCUUCUCCAGGCUCCGCAUCCCCUUGUUUCAGACUUAAGCGCCACGUGGGUUUUAUUGAUGUCAGAGGAGCCAAAAAAAACGAGGACAGCCUCAUCGUUUUAAGCAUGUUACGCAACCUCGCAGUGUGUACCUCCUCCUCGUGCUUUCCGUCACCAUCAUCACGACGUGCACAUUUCCCAUCAGCAUUUUUGCGUUGUUGUUUGCUGUGGUACGACACACACACACACACACACACACACAUCCAUCAGCCGGAGUGGAUUCAUUACAUUUCUACGGCCCACUGAGGAUGCGACGCUGUGACCGCUUGACGCUUUCUGGCCGGACCGGCAGACGUUUCCCACUGAAGGACUGCGCAGGUUGAGCGGAUCCCGCCUGUCGGAUCGGACCAGCGUCUCGCCACAGGAUGUAUCCCACGGGGAAGGAUUUCACCACUGUUUUGUUUUUCUAUCAUCGCAGGACUGUUUUUUUUCUUUUCUCUCCUCGAUGAGGUCAUCGUCCGGCUUCAACUAAAAAAAAAAAAAAGAUUUAUCUUCAAGUCCACUUCUUGUCCCCGACAAGACUUUAGAGGGACACACGUGUCCGUAUUGCUUUUAUUAGUGUGUUUCCGUGUUUGGUGGGCGUGUUUGUUUUGUAUUUGUGUGCGCCUGUGUGUGUAUGCCCGUGUGUCACUGUGACCUCGUGUGUCUGUGUGUGUGUGUGUGUGUGUGUGUGACACGUUUCUGUGCUCACUCGCGGCCUCGUCCCCUUUCUGUCUUUGCCUCCCUCGCUCCCCAAAUCCCGGCAUCCACGGACACAGAAACCCUUGUCUCGCAGCCAAAUGUGUCUACUGUCCCGUGUCUUUACAAGGAGCCAUUGUACGUGUGUGCGUGUGUGUGUGCGUGUGUGUGUGUGUACUAUAGGUGCCUCAUUGCACUAGGUUGGGAAACGCUGUCUUCCAUGGACAUUAGUUGGUAUUGUCUACGUGGUAAUCAGAAAUCAGCUGCCAAUCAUUCGACCCUCUUCUCCUCUCUGACCCUUUGCCUGAUCAUCUCUCCAGUAAAGGGACGAGGGGUUGGAAAGGAUUAAACAAAUGAAGGAGGAUGAAGAGCGGGAGAAUGCCAGAG